rnacentral:lncRNA from 1 species
AUAUUAGGAAGUGAACAAAAAAAGAAAUCGCCUAAAUCUAAGGGAAAAGGAAAAGUCUUAGGCACACUGGCCCUGCCUUUCUCCUCCUCCUCCUAUUCCCUGGAGCUUCAUGAGUUUGCUCAGGUGACCGUUUAAGAAUCAGCUGGUGUCGUGUACAUGGCUGGGUUGAAGGGGCACGAGACUUUUCCCUCAUGUAUAUUCCACAGCACCUGGCAGAGUGUAUUAAACAUGUUGGAAGACCCAAUCAAUACUGACCGAGGAGAAACAAAGGGAAUUCCUCAGCAUCAUUAAGAUUAAUAUUAAUAGUCUGAAGUUUAACAGACCCUACCUGAUUUAAACCGUAAAUUGUUAUUCUGCCACGAGAAUGCAAACAUAUAAAAAAUUAAAAGUUAAAAAGUCC